GAUGAAGAACGUAGCGAAAUGCGAUAAUUAAUGUGAAUUGCAGAAUUCCGUGAAUCAUCGAGUCUUUGAACGCACAUUGCGCCUCAUGGCAUUCCGUGAGGUAUGCCAUCUCAGCGUUAGAAAAUAUUCUCAAAUUUUAGUUUUGUACUAAAAUUUGGAUCAUGUCAAGGAAGCUAUUACUAUUAUUGUGAUCGCUCUUUGGAAAUUGAUAGGUCUUUGAGUUGCUACUCAUAGAACGUGAUGAAUCUUUCUUCGUUCUAUUGUAAUUCACUCUGGUAGUCCUAAAACUUGUAUGCCUGUGGCAUAUCUUGUAAUUUGACCUGAGAUUGGGUAGGGAUACCCGCUGAACUUAAGCAUAUCAAUAAGCGGAGGA
rnacentral:misc_RNA from 1 species